ACGGGGUCUAUGGGAUUAAUGCGUCGAGUACUCUAUGGUUAUAUCACGGGGUCUAUGGAAUAAGACGUCGAGUACACUAUGGUUAUAUCACGGGGUCUUUGGAAUAAGACGUCGAGUACACUAUGGUUAUAUCACGGGGUCUAUGGGAUUAAUGCGUCGAGUACACUAUGGUUAUAUCACGGGGUCUAUGGAACAAGACAUCGAGUAAACUAUGGUUAUAUCACGGGGUCUAUGGGAUUAAUGCGUCGAGUACACUAUGGUUAUAUCACGGGGUCUAUGGAACAAGACGUCGAGUUCUCUAUGGUUAUAUCACGGGGUCUAUAGAAUAAUACGUCGAGUACACUAUGGUUAUAUCACGGGGUCUAUGGAAUAAGACGUCGAGUACACUAUGGUUAUAUCACGGGGUCUAUGGAAUAAGACGUCGAGUACACUAUGGUUAUAUCACGGGGGUAUGGAAUAAUACGUCGAGUACACUAUGGUUAUAUCACGGGGGUUUCUGGAAUUAAUACGCCGAGUACACUAUGGUUAUAUCACAUAGAGUCUCUGGAAUUAAUACGCCGAGUGCUCUAUGGUUAUAUCACGGGGGUUUCUGGAAUUAAUACACCGAGUGCUCUAUGGUUAUAUCACGGGGGUUUCUGGAAUUAAUACGUCGAGUGCUCUAUGGUUAUAUCACAUACAGUCUCUGGAAUUAAUACGUCAAGUGUAAUGAGCGUGAGGGUUGUGAUUCAACACGACAGCAGCAUUCAUCAGUAGGUGGCUGGUGACAUAUAGUAGUCAGAUUUUAAUGACACAUAAUCAGUGAUUUGUACAUAUAAUACAUGUAAUAAUAGUUAUAGAAUGAUAUGUCGGUACCUGUGUGUCUGUAUAGUUAUAGAGGUGUUUACUGUUACAGAUAUGUAUCUUUCUUACGAGGGAUUCAUGUGCUCUUGAAUAUGUAUAUUCAAGGUCUUGCUUGGUCUAAAAUAACCCAAUUCCACGGUUUCUUCUUGCCUUAAUUAACGUUUGCGUGUGAUCUCUAUACAGAACCGGUCGUAACUGAGGACUGUGUAUAUAGGAAGGUUACUAUAUGAGAACCUAAAAACGUUGUCUAUGCGACAGACCUUUAACAAAUAGUUUUCUUGUAAAUGCUGAAUCUAAAUGUAAACUCAAGUUAAUAAUAGUCUGGAUGUUAAUAGAGGAAAGGCGGUAGUACUGCAUACUUCUUGGCAGUAAUACAGAGAUACGGAGGUCACGUUGGCAGUUAAGAUAUACAUGUAAAGUCUUCAGUCAUUUACCUGAUAAUCUUUGACCCCAAAAUGUUGCGAGCGCUUCAAUCUCUGCUAUGUUGAAACACUGACUUGUGUUGAACGAUGACGACUACAACAUGAAUCGUGUCAGGUUUACCUUUAUAACCGAUAUAACUAUGUUACUGACCCUACGGUUAAAUUCUAUGGUCUAUGUCACCUUUUACCAGUAGAACUUCCAGACGUAAAGUUCUGAGCGCGUCAACGUCUGUCAUGCUGUGUUACUGUUUUAGUUGAGUGAGUGAGUAUGAUUUUGCGCCGCUUUUAGCAAUAUUUAGCAACAUCACGGCGGGGGACACCAGAAAUGGGCUGCACACAUUGUACCCAUGUAGGAACUCGAACCCGGGCCUCCGGGUGACGAGCGAACGCUUUAACCACCAGACUACCACCGCCCCUGUUUUAGGUUGAACGCUGAAUGGCUCAACAUGAGACUUAUUCGGUUCAUUUGUUUGGUGGUAACUGCUAAACAAAUGCAAACCAUGACCACAUAAAUAUAUGUUUAUUUAUCUGGUUAAUUGGACAUGUAAGCAACAACAUAACGUGUACAUAGAAAUAUCAGGUUAUAUAGUAGUGUCUAGCAGCACAAUGGAAGCUAACCACCAUGGGGUAAUUCUGUUCUAACCUGGGUCCCGAUCAACAAAACCUUCGUAGCGCUACGACAUUCGUAAGCCUAUGAUAAACUAUAAAGUUAUGACAGGUCGUAUCGUUACGAAUGCUUUGUGGAUCUGGCCCCAAGAGACGAGUUCAUCAAUGCCCAUCUCAUGGGCCUAGUGGCUGGGUACAGUGGUAGUAGACGCCCAACGGCUUGUUUCUUUUACGAACAUUUUUUCACUUUAGGGUAAAGUUACAUAAAUAUUCAUGGUUUGCGUGAUGAAGAGCGCACAUUUUAUAGGGCCACGGUCCGAAUAUAGGGGACAGUGACUUCAUACAUGUUCGAAUUGUUCGUUGAAAAAGACAAUUCGUGAUCAUGGCGGAAAUUACUUAUUUGGUCACGUAUGACAAACAUUUUCUGGAAUUAAAUCACGACAUCACUUUUAUUUCAGGAAUACUGAAAUGUUUCAUUAUGGUGAACUUUACUUACUGAAAUAGUAUAUUAAUAUAUAAUGCUUAAUAACUAAUGUUAUGCAUAUAAAGUGGUCUGCAUUAAAUAUGCAACACCGCCGAAUGAUAUAUUUUACAAUAUUUACUGAAUUACACCAAUGCCUACAAAUACUGCUUUUAUCGUCAUGAAUAACGCUAUAUAACACUGAUGUAUUUUAGCUGUAUGUGCAGGGACAUAUGUAUAUAUACAGUCCUAAGCUAGAUAUAUUGUAUACAUUCAUAUAUUCAUACAAUAGCCAUACAGUUGUCAUUGUGUUUGGGCGUUUCUCGCUUCUAACACAGUUGUUACAUAAUAGAACAGUUGAAGUGAUUCUCAGGUUACUGACAAUAAAGAGCGAUAACACCUACUGUAUGUAAUAUAGUACUUCCUCAGUGUGCCUGGCCUGCGUAAGAGUAGUGCAGCUAAAUGUAUGUGUAUCAAACAACCAAACAAGUUGGUUGUAAAAUUAUAGUUUGAUUUCUAUAAUUAGGUAUGCCAUCCCCACUGUUAAGCAAAGGAAGGUGAAAAACGUUUGGUCAUCCGAGAUGAUCUCAUAAGCCUUAAUAGAUAGGAAACCUGAGAAUAUAUAAUUAAUGGUAUUCUAUCUGCUUAUGUGAUUCAGUAUUUGCCAAUAGAUAUAUCAAUGUUUUUUCAGUCUUCCAAAACAUUUAUUUAAAUUUGUUAAAGUAACAAAUAUAUCGGCUGAGCAAAUAUUGUUGUUGUCUUAACACUCAUAGUUUGUACCACACCCUCAAAUAUUCGGUGGAUGUAUUCAUUUCGUACUAAUAAAUACCACUUUCGUCACCAUUCUUAUUUAUCCCAAUUCAAAUAGCACGACGCUAAAUAUAGCUGUCCAAUGACAUUACUCAGACGAGCGAGAGACUUUUUGUGUCAAGUUAUAUAUAGCAGAGAGUAAGUUGUCACGGAACGAAGCUAUGAUGUAUAUGUUUUUCUAUAUCUUUGUACCUACUAUGUUUAUAUUUGUUAGAAUAGAACAUUGCCUCUGUUUCUUUAUGGAAUGCAAUGCAAUAAAUAUCGCAUCUUAUCUUAUCUGUGGUAUAAUCUUGAAAACUAAUCGAGAUUGACAUUGCGGAUGUUAAUGUAUAUUCUUCAUGUUUUGUGAGGACACGGAGAGACUGGUACAGCUGUAAGACUGCUGAUUGUGAUGACGACAUUCAACUCUUUACUCACGUUCCAACACGGUGCCUUGAGCUGUUUUUGACAGGAACGGCCGCGCCGUGUUGCAUAUAUUACAACAGUGUCUCUGUUCAGUUUGUAUUCAGUGUUUAGGCUAUGGUAAUAAAUAUAGUUUUACCUUA
rnacentral:lncRNA from 1 species